UAGGGAAUCUUCGGCAAUGGGGGGAACCCUGACCGAGCAACGCCGCGUGAGUGAAGAAGGUUUUCGGAUCGUAAAGCUCUGUUGUUAAGGAAGAACGAGUGUGAGAAUGGAAAGUUCAUGCUGUGACGGUACUUAACCAGAAAGGGACGGCUAACUACGUGCCAGCAGCCGCGGUAAUACGUAGGUCCCGAGCGUUGUCCGGAUUUAUUGGGCGUAAAGCGAGCGCAGGCGGUCAAUUAAGUCUGAUGUGAAAGCCCCCGGCUCAACCGGGGAGGGUCAUUGGAACCUGGUUGACUUGAGUGCAGAAGAGGAGAGUGGAAUUCCAUGUGUAGCGGUGAAAUGCGUAGAUAUAUGGAGGAACACCAGUGGCGAAGGCGACUCUCUGGUCUGUAACUGACGCUGAGGCUCGAAAGCGUGGGUAGCAAACAGG
rnacentral:rRNA from 1 species